rnacentral:rRNA from 1 species
GCAUAUCAAUAAGCGGAGGAAAAGAAACCAACAGGGAUUACCUCAGUAACGGCGAGUGAAGCGGUAACAGCUCAAAUUUGAAAUCUGGGUCUUUUAGGCUCCGAGUUGUAAUUUGUAGAAGAUGCUUCGGGUGUGGCCCCGGUCUAAGUUCCUUGGAACAGGACGUCAUAGAGGGUGAGAAUCCCGUAUGUGACUGGGUGCCUUCGCUCAUGUGAAGCUCUUUCGACGAGUCGAGUUGUUUGGGAAUGCAGCUCAAAAUGGGUGGUAUAUUUCAUCUAAAGCUAAAUAUUGGCCAGAGACCGAUAGCGCACAAGUAGAGUGAUCGAAAGAUGAAAAGCACUUUGGAAAGAGAGUUAAACAGUACGUGAAAUUGUUGAAAGGGAAGCGCUUGCAAUCAGACUUGCACGCCGUCGAUCAUCCAGGGUUCUCUCUGGUGCACUCGGCGGCGUUCAGGCCAGCAUCGGUUUUGGGGGUGGGAUAAAGGCCUUGGGAAUGUAGCUCCUUUCGGGGAGUGUUAUAGCCCUCGGUGCAAUGCCGCCUCCCGGGACCGAGGACCGCGCUUCGGCUAGGAUGCUGGCGUAAUGGUUGUAAGCGACCCGUCUUGAAACACGGACCAAGGAGUCUAACAUUUAUGCGAGUAUUUGGGUGUUAAACCCAUAUGCGGAAUGAAAGUGAACGGAGGUAGGAACCCUUAAGGGUGCACUAUCGACCGAUCCUGAUGUCUUCGGAUGGAUUUGAGUAAGAGCAUAACUGUUGGGACCCGAAAGAUGGUGAACUAUGCGUGAAUAGGGUGAAGCCAGAGGAAACUCUGGUGGAGGCUCGCAGCGGUUCUGACGUGCAAAUCGAUCGUCAAAUUUGCGUAUAGGGGCGAAAGACUAAUCGAACCAUCUAGUAGCUGGUUCCUGCCGAAGUU